AUAUCCUCUCGAGAACCCAUUUCAUGCCAGAUAUGUAAAUGUAUGCGAAUUUUGCUUUUUACCGUUUUUUAAUUUACCCAUAGUACUUCAGAAUAGUAAAAGGAACCAAACUUACCUAGGAAAUAUUCUAGGGAUCCUUAAAGAAAAAAAUCAAUUCAUGACAUCAGCUGCCGAGAUGUUAACCAAAGAAGCAUGGCAAAUGGCUAACCUCCUCGACUUAAGUGAUGAAUCUCCAUGAUUUACAACAACUUUUCCUCAAGAAUAAGGUGUUUUCCUGGGUCAACACUGAACACAUCCACGAAAUUGAACAUCGAGUUUGAGAGAUACGUCAAGAGGUUAAAAUUGCUCAACACCUGCUAUUGUGGGUGCUUCAAGGCACUCCACAGAUGCCAGGACUGACCUAAACAGCUCUGCCCGAAUGCGCUGCCUUAUUGCACAGCCAGUGAGAGGCCAAUGGGAGGACCACCGUAUUCCCACAGUGCCCAGACGGCUCCCUUUAUAAGAGCAGUCCAGGCUAAGGUAUCUCUCUUUAUCUCCCACAUACUCUCUUGUCCGGGUAUCUCCUCUAACCCUGCAGGACACCCCGACUCCAGCGCCACCUCGCCGACGGCCCACCACUGCUGUAAUACUACUGCUUGUGUAACCUCAGGCAAAUAAAAUAGUAUGAAGUA